AACGAGUGGCAUGUGUGAGUUGUGAACCCAUUCACUAUGGUGAUAGUAGCCCUAGAAGAUAGGGCACCCCUGAGGUGGGAGAAUUGGAUCAUACUCAUUGUCUGCUCCCAACUUGUGAUGGUCGCUCCACACAAGUAGUGCGCUCCGGAGUCGGUCACGAGGGAUAGCCUAUGUGGGGUCCCGUGGGAUAGGGAUAGCCUAUUUGGGGUCCCGAGGGAUAGCCUAUGUGGGGUCCCGCAGACGGUCUCGGAUUCGUAGUAUCGAGACGG
rnacentral:lncRNA from 1 species